AGGGAAUCUUCCACAAUGGGACGAAAGUCUGAUGGAGCAACGCCGCGUGGAGUGAAGAAAGGUUUCGGCUCGUAAAGCUCUGUUGGUAGUGAAGAAAGAUAGAGGUAGUAACUGGGCUUUAUUUGACGGUAAUUACUUAGAAAGUCACGGGCUAACUAC
rnacentral:rRNA from 1 species